rnacentral:rRNA from 1 species
UACGAAGGGGGGCUAGCGUUGCUCGGAUUGACUGGGCGUAAAGGGCGCGUAGGCGGUUCGUACAGUCAGACGUGAAAUUCCUGGGCUCAACCUGGGGGCUGCGUUUGAUACGUGCGGACUUGAGUGCGGAAGAGGGGUCGUGGAAUUCCCAGUGUAGAGGUGAAAAUUCGUAGAUAUUGGGAAGAACACCGGUGGCGAAGGCGGCGACCUGGUCCGAUACUGACGCUGAGGCGCGAAAGCGUGGGGAGCAAACAGG